GCAUUUGGGCAUCGUCCUUCGGAGGCUGCCUGGAAAGAUGCUGUUCUUGUCAUCUGGUGACUUUCCCCAAGGGAUUACAGUUUCUCUGCAUUAAGGUCAAAAAUGCUUGGGGACCCAGAAUGGAAAGAGCCCUUAGUCUAGGAGGCAGGGAUUCCUGAUUCUAAUGUCAGCUCUGCUUUUCAGGAGCUGGUUGUGCUUAGGUGAAGAAACCGAGUUGCCAAAAAAAAUGGCCAGGCUGCUCGCAGCCAGUAAGGAUCAGAGGGGCCAAGAAUUGGAAACAAAGGCAGUAACCAUCAGUUGGGGGAUGGCUAAACAGGU